CAAGUGGAACUAGUUAGCGCU
rnacentral:miRNA from 1 species